AAGGAGUAAGGUGUUAGCUCUCUCUUCCGUCUAAAUAAUAGGGACAUAAUACAUGGCACCAUGGUGGCUAUCUGCCGGCUUGAGGAAAAGAGAGCCGCUAAAGGCGAUCAGGUGACGCGGCGGCUAACCUGUCCCACACACGCUCUCGACUCCACCUCCCCAUUUUUUUUUCACGAAAUUAUUCAACCAAAUAGUAAUUCGAAAUUGGGGAAAAAUUGAAAACCUCUUUUUGAUCUCUCUUGACUUUCCGAGACAUCUGACGACCGCCAUGACGACGGAGGAACCACCGCUCUCCGCAUCAACAACGUCACUUCUAGAUAAACCUCUUCACCAACUCACAGAAGACGACAUUUCCCAACUCACUCGCGAAGACUGCCGCCGGUACCUCAAACAGAAAGGAAUGAGACGUCCGUCGUGGAAUAAGUCUCAGGCGAUCCAGCAAGUAGUUAUGCUCAAGGCGUUACUUGAACCUACACCGGACUCGGACGGUUGCCGGCGGAAGCUCCACAUUACCCAUCUGCAACAGGAAACCCCAAACACGCGUGCUCAGAAAGGAACAAGUGCGGAUACGGAGGUCUCUGUUUCAGCUGAUGAAUCAGUACCUGGUCAGCGCCAUGACAUGGAUCAAUCGGAUCUUUUUGGUGAUAAUAAUUUUGUUCUUCCUGGGAUUACUGGUGUGACAGAUGAAGGAAAAGGACAGAUGACAAUUUUCUAUAGUGGCAAGGUGAAUGUCUAUGAUGAUGUCCCAGCUGAUAAGGCACAAACUCUAUUCAAGCUUGCUUCAAGCCCACUACAGUUUCAUCAGGAUGAUGGAAAUAUGACCACAUUUCCCCUUCCAUUCCAUUUGCAACCUCCAACUAUAUUAACAACCACAGAAUCAUCUGUCAUGCACUUGCCCACAUUGCAAACAGUAAGAAAGACAGAUAAGUCUAGGAUGCAUAGAGAAGAAAUCAGCAUAUUUCAUGAGGAAAACUCUGAUUAUGGUGAGACAGGUGAAGAAGUUUCAGGAAGAGGAAGCAGAAAAGCAUCAGUGCAGAGGUAUCUUGAGAAGCGGAAAGAUAGGUUUAAGAGGCAGAACAAACUAAAAGCCAGUGAAUGUGGCAGCAGUAGCAGCUUCCAUCAUGUUUUCUUAACCCAUCACAACGAAAACGAGCAGUCAUUAUCAACUACGACUUCACCACCUAACGAACCAGUUUGAGCUAAAUGGGAAUUUUAACGUAUUUUCCCAGGAAGGAAAUCAGAAUAGGAGAAGGUAAAUGCAUGUAUAUUUCAAGUGGAGAUAGUGUUAGCCUGUUAGGGUUGCUGAGUAGAUAUAUGAGAUUGUUGUAGUAGGCCUUUCAGUCGGUGUAAAGAUGGAAACCGACCACAUCGUCUCUUUGAAAACAGCAAAAAGGUAAACUAAAAAAUCGAAUUGUGUUUUUGUUUUGGUUACUUUAAAAAGUCAUGGGAAAAUAAAAUAAAAUAAAUCAAUGACAUUAACUGAACGAACUACCGUUGUAAUUAAGAUUUGGAAUACAAAUAACUUGUCAAUAUACAAA